CUACGGGGGGCUGCAGUGAGGAAUAUUGGACAAUGGGGGAAACCCUGAUCCAGCAAUGCCGCGUGAAUGAAGAAGGCCUUAGGGUUGUAAAGUUCUUUCACUCGUGAAGAUGAUGACGGUAACGAGAGAAGAAGCCCCGGCUAACUCUGUGCCAGCAGCCGCGGUAAGACAGAGGGGGCUAGCGUUGUUCGGAAUUACUGGGCGUAAAGGGUGCGUAGGCGGUUAUUCAAGUAAAAUGUUAAAGCCCUAGGCUUAACCUAGGAAUCGCGUUUUAAACUGAAUGACUAGAGUGUGGUAGAGGAAAGCGGAAUUCCUAGUGUAGAGGUGAAAUUCGUAGAUAUUAGGAGGAACACCAGAGGCGAAGGCGGCUUUCUGGAUCACUACUGACGCUGAGGCACGAAAGCGUGGGGAGCAAACAGGAUUAGAUACCCUCGUAGUC
rnacentral:rRNA from 1 species